rnacentral:lncRNA from 1 species
AUUGAAGCAAUGCUGCAUGAAUUAGAGUCUUGUGGGGAGCUUGCUUAUCAUGAAGAAACAAAUGAAGACUUGGAUGUGACAAAGAAAAUGGAAGAACCAAAACUAGAGUUGAAAAUGCUACCUUCACACUUGAAGUAUGUGUUCCUUGGUGACGAGUGUACUAAACCGGUGAUCAUUAGCAACACCUUGUCCACAAAAGAGGAAUACAAAUUGAUACAAGUGCUGAAAAAGAAUGAG